rnacentral:rRNA from 1 species
GAACGCUGGCGGCGUGCUUAACACAUGCAAGUCGAGCGGAAAGGCCCUUCGGGGUACUCGAGCGGCGAACGGGUGAGUAACACGUGAGCAACCUGCCCUAGGCUUUGGGAUAACCCCGGGAAACCGGGGCUAAUACCGAAUAUGACCUGACCUCGCAUGGGGUUGGGUGGAAAGUUUUUCGGCCUGGGAUGGGCUCGCGGCCUAUCAGCUUGUUGGUGGGGUGAUGGCCUACCAAGGCGACGACGGGUAGCCGGCCUGAGAGGGCGACCGGCCACACUGGGACUGAGACACGGCCCAGACUCCUACGGGAGGCAGCAGUGGGGAAUAUUGCACAAUGGGCGGAAGCCUGAUGCAGCGACGCCGCGUGAGGGAUGACGGCCUUCGGGUUGUAAACCUCUUUCAGCAGGGACGAAGCGUAAGUGACGGUACCUGCAGAAGAAGCGCCGGCCAACUACGUGCCAGCAGCCGCGGUAAGACGUAGGGCGCGAGCGUUGUCCGGAUUUAUUGGGCGUAAAGAGCUCGUAGGCGGC